GCACUGAUGGUUCAGUGGUAGAAUUCUCGCCUGCCACGCGGGAGGCCCGGGUUCGAUUCCCGGUCAGUGCA